rnacentral:rRNA from 1 species
UACGAAGGGGCCGAGCGUUGUUCGGAAUUACUGGGCGUAAAGCGCACGCAGGUGGCUUUAUAAGUCAGGGGUGAAAUCCCGGGGCUCAACCUCGGAAUUGCCCUUGAUACUGUCUAUCUUGAGUCCGGGAGAGGUGAGUGGAACUCCUAGUGUAGAGGUGAAAUUCGUAGGUAUUAGGAAGAACACCAGUGGCGAAGGCGGCUCACUGUCCCGGUACUGACGCUCAUGUGCGAAAGCGUGGGGAGCAAACAGG